GUUGCGGGACCUUCUCCUCUCCAGCCUGGACACCUGCCAGCGAGACUAAUUCUCCAGAAUUAAGACCCACCCAGAGACACCCGGUUGCGGACAGGCAAGGAAAAUUCACCAAUGAUAAUAUGAUUGGGAAGGCAUCUUCAGGAAUUCAGCCCUGACUGCUGGAGUCCUUGCUCAUGAAAUCACAAGUAAAAUGAAUCACAAGGCCAGAUGAUCAUCCAGUACAUGGCACAUACGGGAGAAAAACGGAGGAGAACGUUUUGAAGGCUCCCGAAUCUCCAGUUUGUCUUUGCCUGGGGGUGGUAAGUUUGCUAUCACCCUCCCCUUCCUGCGGAAGAUGUCACAGUGGGGAUCUGGGGGUGGGAAGAGUUGAGUUGGAAGAGACGGGCAUGGGGCUGGAGAGCCCUCUGUACAGCCUGUUGCUUUCCAGAGCUGGGGGACUGCCAAGCAGCAGCCUGUGAGGGAUGAAGAUUCCCCUGCACAGCAUGACUUACUGUCUGUCUCCCUGGAGCUGUCCUCCUGCUUUGUAAGGCCCCUUGUUCCAACAGAUUAAUAUGCCAGGAGCUGCAGAGACUAUUUUUUAACUCUCAGAGAGGAGCCAGAGGUCAGAGCAGGCCGAGCCCCAGGUGGUGGCAAGUCAGUGCCACCUGGGGGCUCUGUAGGCUCGGGAGACGCGUGUGUGCGGCGGGGCGGGGGGCUGCCCGCACGGCCCCGGGGGGCUGCCCGCACGGCCCCGCGCUCCUCGGCGCUUGGGCUGGGCCGCUGGGCGGGUGUGUCUGAGCGUCUUCCAAACAUCAGCUGCCCGCAGGACAGGCUGCAGUUGCUGUUUCUCCCGAAGGAGAUGGAGCAGAGAAGUGGUUUGUGGCAGGACCCAAAGGAGGGCGCGUGUUCCUCGGCCGCUGAUUCCCGUUCCCGCAGGGGAACCCUCGGGCUGAUUCACCCUGAGCAUCACCCGUUUCGGAGAACGGCAGUUUGUUUGAAUCGGUGUUCUUGCCUUAAGAUACAUAGCGUUAUGCUUUUAAUUGUAUGUAUUUAAGAGGAAGUGCUAAUGAAUGUUUAAAGCUUGAUGUAAUUCAUAUGCAAUUUCACUUUGCCAAUUAAGACUGUAUCUUGCUGUAUUAAAAGUAU